rnacentral:rRNA from 1 species
GCUGGCGGCGUGCCUAACACAUGCAAGUCGAGCGGGGACAUGCGACGGAUUUGAAGAUUUCGGUGGAUAUGAAGAUGUAUGUUCUAGCGGCGGACGGGUGAGUAACGCGUGAGCAACCUGUCCUUCACAGGGGGAUAACACGAGCGAAAGUUGUACCAAUACCGCAUAAGACCACGUUGGGACAUCCCCAAAAGGGGGUCAAAGGAGCAAUCCGGUGAAGGGUGGGCUCGCGUCCGAUUAGAUAGUUGGUGAGGUAACGGCCCACCAAGUCGACGAUCGGUAGCCGACCUGAGAGGGUGAUCGGCCACAUUGGGACUGAGACACGGCCCAAACUCCUACGGGAGGCAGCAGUGGGGAAUAUUGGGCAAUGGGGGGAAACCCUGACCCAGCAACGCCGCGUGAGGGAAGAAGGUUUUCGGAUCGUAAACCUCUGUCCUUGGUGAAGAGGAAGAGACGGUAGCCAAGGAGGAAGCCCCGGCUAACUACGUGCCAGCCGCUGC